AUGACCGUGGAGGGGAGGGUCAGCGGCGGGGGGGACGGCGGCGGCAAGGACAAGUUCCCGGUCGGCAUGCGCGUGCUCGCCGUCGACGACGACCCCACCUGCCUCAAGGUCCUCGAGAACCUCCUGCGCCGCUGCGACUACCAUGUUACAACCACUGGGCAGGCAGCCACCGCCCUCAGGAUGCUCAGGGAGAACAAGGACCAGUUUGACCUCGUGAUCAGCGAUGUCCACAUGCCGGACAUGGAUGGUUUCAAGCUCCUCGAGCUUGUCGGUCUGGAGAUGGACCUCCCAGUCAUUAUGUUGUCUGCAAAUGGGGAGACACAGACAGUCAUGAAGGGCAUAACUCAUGGAGCAUGUGACUACCUGCUAAAGCCGGUGCGUCUUGAGCAGCUGAAGACAAUAUGGCAACAUGUGAUUAGGCGGAAUACCAAGAACCGUGGUAGUGACAAUGAUGAUGCCGGUCAGAAAGGGCCGAAUGCUGAAGGUGAGAAUGGCGGAGCUAACCGCAACAAGAGGCAGUCACGGAGGGAUAGAGAUGAGAAUGGAGAUGACGGUGAUGAUUCUGAUGAAAACAGUAAUGACAACGGCGACUCGUCAUCCCAGAAGAAGCCAAGAGUUGUGUGGUCUGUGGAGCUGCACCGGAAGUUUGUUGCUGCUGUCAACCAGCUUGGCAUCGACAAGGCUGUUCCAAAGAAGAUAUUGGACCUCAUGAAUGUAGAGAACAUCACCAGGGAGAAUGUUGCUAGUCAUCUGCAGAAGUACCGGCUGUAUCUGAAAAGGAUGAGUAUGGAUGCAAGUAGACAGGCUAACCUCGUUGCUGCACUUGGAGGAAGGAACCCUGCUUACAGCAAUAUGAAUUCAAUGGAUGUCUUCAGGCACUACAGCAACACGUACGGUAGAUACCGACCAGUUCCAACCAGCAACCAUUCCCAGUCAAAUAACCUUGUUGCAAGGAUGAACUCCCCUUCUGCAUACGGAAUGCAUGGGUUGCUGUCUCCACAGUCUCAGCCACUUCACCUUGGCCAUGCCCAGAAUAAUCUGGGCACUUCCCUGAACGAUUUGGGUGUCAAUAAUGGUAACCUGAUCAGGGGUGCACAAAUGUCAACCAUGGUGACUGGUACUUCUGGUAACUCUUUUGCAAACAUUUCAAAUGGUGCACCAUUGGCUCCUACAAAUAGGGCAGUUCAGUCUCUUGAAUCAAACAACAGGCAACACCUUGGUCGGAUAAAUUCGUCUUCGACAGACUCAUUUAGCUCAUUCGCUAGUGAUUCUCCCCACUUUCCAGAUCUUGGAAGAAGUAGUAACACCUGGCAAACUGCAGUUCCGUCCAACAUUCAGCAACUUGGUCAGAACGGCAGCAUGUCCCAAGCAAGCUUGCAUGGGAAUGGCCCUAGGAUGGAACCUGUCUCUAGCUAUGCACCACCAUCAAAUCAGAUUACAUCUCUGGGAAAUGAUAUGCAGAACCAAGUAGCACCACUAGCUAGCAAUAGCCUUCCAAUGGUAUUCAAUCAGGGUGCAGCGCCAUUCACCUUUGGAAACAGCACAAACUCGAGAGAGGCGCUCAAUAGCAACCUUGCGUUCAGCAACUCAGGCAUCAACACUUCAUUGCCAAACCUUCGCAUUGACAAUUCGGUUGUGCCAAGGCAGACUCUGGAUGGCGGGAAUACAGGCGGUGUUCCCUCUCUGCAGGAUGGCAAGAUUGAUCAGCAAGCUGUUGGUAAUCAGCUCAAUUACAACAACAAUGAUCUUGUGGGGACAAGUGGGCUGCAAAGGGAGCUCAGUGGUGGUCUGGAUGACAUUGUUGUUGACAUGUUCAGGCCGGAUAAUGAUAAUGGUGGCAUUUUCGACACGGACUGGGGGCUGGUCUAG
rnacentral:rRNA from 1 species